rnacentral:rRNA from 1 species
CGUAGGGUGCGAGCGUUAAUCGGAAUUACUGGGCGUAAAGCGUGCGCAGGCGGCGCCGCAAGUCAGGCGUGAAAUCCCCGGGCUUAACUUGGGAAUGGCGCUUGAAACUACGGUGCUGGAGUGUGGCAGAGGGAGGUGGAAUUCCACGUGUAGCGGUGAAAUGCGUAGAGAUGUGGAGGAACACCGAUGGCGAAGGCAGCCUCCUGGGCCAACACUGACGCUCAUGCACGAAAGCGUGGGGAGCAAACAGGAUUAGAUACCCUGGUAGUCCACGCCCUAAACGAUGAUGACUAGCUGUUGGGGGAGUUAAAUCCCUUAGUAACGCAGCUAACGCGUGAAGUCAUCCGCCUGGGGAUACGGUCGCAAGAUUA